GUACUUAGUUGCAGUCCACAAAUUGCAUGAGGAAAAGGUAUUAAAUGUACUUCCUAUAUGAUGAGUUUUAGGAUUCAGACUUUGACUUGCAGAGAAUGGGAUUUUAGAGUAUCUGCAUGUACACCUUAACACCUGAGAUGUUUCAAAUCAUCAUGGUGUUGAAUUUUUCAUCAAAGGUACCCACAUCCUAAACAAACCUGUGUUUCAAUAUUUGAUGGUCCACAUGUAACAGAAGACGGACAUCCCGCUGCACUGAAGAUGAACCUGUGAUUGAGAGCGCACACUUCUAGGAAAUACAACAUCCUCGUGAUGUGAUGCAGUUUAUAUCUGUGCUGAGAUCGUCUCGCUCUCACACGUAUCGUAUGAUUGUUGUCACUGAAUUUACUGCGCUUUGAUGACACACAGGGAUGCCGGCCCGAUCUCGCGGUCGGGGAUGGACACAUGAAUGCGCAGGAUGCAUGAGUGUAAACAAAUACAAAUAUCAACCUCUCCUCUGUCUAUCUGAUAAGCACAAACACACACACACUCUCAGCUCUAUCAGGCUCAUCUUACAGCCCGGACUGUCGCUCUUCAUUAGCUGCUUCACUGUCGGUUACUUUAUACAGAGUGAGUGCAGCUGAUCGGCAUCUCAGUCAAAAUAUGCAGGACACUAAAUACAGCUGAAGCCCACUGAUGUUAUGUUACAUGAUAUUAUACUCUAUGAAUAUUCAAAAUAACUGCACGAGCCACUUUGUCUGCAGGCUUACACUUGGAUAGUGGAUCUGACCUGAAUUCCUCUUGAAUGUUUAGUUACUAUUUUGGACCGUGAAGCAAAACAGACUCAUGAGGUCGAAAAGUGACUUUAGUUUGCACCGAAUGUUCACUGUGUGUCCUAUAAAUCCUUUACCUAAGGUUGUGUUUUGUCUUCGGUCUGCUUUCAAAGCUUUCUGCAGAUCAUCACAUCCAUCAGAUUUUCCAAGGCCGAUCACGAGGGCGGCAAAGUCCUUAAUAACCUCUGAGUAAAAUCUGACAAGUGAAACUGACACAUCCUGACACUUUGAUUGUCUAUCAGUCCAGUGAGUGACAUCUUCUUCAACUUGCUUUUACUUCAUGUGACUCUUACUGUCUCUCUUUAUGAUCAUCCUCUCGACAGUUUGUCUGUUUCUCUUUGUUUUUGUUUUUUAGAAAGCUUGUUGUCCCCGAGAAGAUUCCCCCUAAAGCCUGAAGUGUUUGCUGUCCGCGGUUUCAGUGCCUGGAUGCCCAGUUGAGUAUGAGCUUGAAUAAGCCCAAAACAAUGUCUGAUAGUUUUGAGAAGAAUAGUUCUUCUGACUGUACUGAAUCUUUAGAAUCUGUUCAUUAAAAUUAUUCGCUCAAAAGAUUCAUCUCCUGAAUCAGUCAGUGCUUUAGAGCCCCAUCCUGCCAGGUGCAGUUCAUGAGUGAGUGACAGCGGCGUAGAUCAAAAGUUCGUUCAUUGAGUGAGUUCCUCCCCUCCCCUGCUGCUGAAGUCUCAGCGUCGUUCACUGGGUGUAGCAUGUCGUUCGUUCGCCAAGUCGUGAAGGAAGAAUCACUCCCCCACCUCUCUGUG
rnacentral:lncRNA from 1 species